AUUAUAUCCACAGCAACACUGUUUCUCUAUUUACUAUAUAUGCAACUCUGUGGCGGUGGCGGUAUCUCACUGUAAAUAGAUAUAGGGCUACGUUCUUCGCUGUCCAUAGUCAAGAUCAACUAGUCCACCCUACAGAUCAGCAAAAUUGGCAGGUUUAAGAAGGUGCGCAGUGUUCUUA